CGGUCACCCACAUUAGUAAGUUUUUUUAUAACUGCCCAAUAUUUGUAAUGGAUUUAUUUUUGUUGGGUUGUUUUGGUUUUGUAUGAAAAAGAUAGUUAAAUCUCAUGUAUGGUUGGAUUGGAUUAUUGAUAUUUGUAUAUCUUAAUUGUUUAUGGAUUGCGACAUUAAGGGUUGAUGAUGAUGUAGAAAGGAGGACAAUAGUCUUUGAUAUUUUUGUCUCUUACAUUUUUUAAUGUAUUUGAAAUGUUGCAAAUGAUUAUAUGAGAGAUUGUUGAUGUAUGACAUAUCAUCGUUUAACGUUGCUAUAUUCUUAAUAUUCAUCACAAGAAAGAUGGAACUUAUAAUCUUUGUUUCUAAAUAUUAGUAGUUAAUUAUAGGAGAAAAUUGAAAAAAGAAUUGUUGAGAUCCAAGAUCUACAACAACAUUCAGAAGAAAUUGAAAAUUAAGUGCCUUCUCAAAGUAGUUGGAUCGAAAAAGGACCUGGAUGAAUUCGUCAUGUCGCUGUUGGUGGCGAUGCCACAGAAGGUUCCUGUCUCUGUAGUGCACGGGGGCACUUACGUGGCACAAUUGGAGCCCUUGAUCUUGAGAUUUGGGGGCUAAAGGACAAUUAUGGAGGACCCCAUUGGUUGCUUCAUGAGUUAUGGGUCUCAUUUGAGGGUUUUACUUGAUGCCUAAAAACAUUCUUGUUCAUGGCUCAUUCAAAGGGAGAUCGAGAGGUAAAGGGGAAGUGCAAGGAAAAAUGGAUUUUUCAUUUUUUGGGUUUUCAAAG
rnacentral:lncRNA from 1 species